UCUUUAAACGGCCGCGGUAUCCUAACCGUGCAAAGGUAGCAUAAUCACUUGUCCCCUAAAUCGGGACUAGAAUGAAUGGCUAAAUGAGGAUUAAACUGUCUCUUACGGGUAAGCCAAUGAAAUUGAUAUCUCAGUACAAAAGCUGAGAUAAAAACAUAAGACGAGAAGACCCUGUGGAGCUUUAAAACCAAACCACCAAGUAUGGUCCUUGGAUUUUUAGUUGGGGCGACUUUGGAGCAAAACAAAACCUCCAAAUAUGAACACUUACCUUAUUAAGAUAAACACACCGAAACAAUAACAGACCCAGCAAUUAAACCCACCAAUUGCCUGAUAAAUGAACCAAGUUACCCCAGGGAUAACAGCGCCAUCCCCUUAUAGAGUCCCUAUCGACAAGGGGGUUUACGACCUCGAUGUUGGAUCAGGACACCCCAAUGGUGCAGCCGCCAUUAAAGGUUCGUUUGUUCAACGAUUAAUAGUCCUACGUGAUCUGAGUUC
rnacentral:rRNA from 1 species